UAUAAAAGACGAAAAGUGAGUCAUCAGUUCGAAAAAAAUAUAUAUAUGUUUCAUUCAGAGCUGGCAAAAAUGAAACCAAUAAGCCAAACGAACAAAACAAAUAGGCAAUAUGAAAAGUAAACCUUCAGAAACCCGAUGUAAAACAUAAUGAAAAUAAUGUAUAAGCUAACAAGACAUAAAAAAUGGAGUAGAUUUUAAACAAGAAAAGAUCAUUUAUCACUUGUCUAAAAUCCACAUUUGAAAAAAAUAAUUAAUAGCCCAAGGACAUUAAACGGAAACGAUAGGAGCGGUGGCAUCCUGAGCUUUAGCCAAAGCUUCUGUUUCACGACGAAGGGCAGAGAAGUCCCAGUCUUCCUCAUCACCAACCACUUCGUGAGUUUUGUCUUUGUUGCUCUCAAAGUAUUCACGGCCACUUAAGUUACUUCUACCAACAGCGCGGUUACUACGGCGCUCUUCAGCUUGUUUGAGAAUACGAUCUCUCCGACCAUCACUCCAUUUUUUAAAGUUUUCUUCAGUUACAGGGGUAAGAUUAGGCCCUAAUCUAUGGCGCUCAAUCUCAAUAAAGGCCUCAAGACUAAUUUCUUCUUUAGUAUCAUCCUUUUUCUUGUCGCGACUAAGCACGUAGCCAUAAGGAAGAGCAUGUUUGUAAAUACAAGUCAUAUUACCAUUCGGACAUUGCCACAACCAUCCAUAUUUGCCAGUUUCACACGCCUCCAGAAAGAACUUACAGACGAUGUCCGUAUUAAUCCAAGGACGUUUCUCAAGAGGCAAAUCAGUUUGCUGGUCACGAACAUCUGAGUAAAGGUCGAUUUUUUGUGACUCUUUAACUUCUUCUUUACGAGUAAGAAAAUUCUGAGGUGUUUGUUUCUUGGGUAUUGCAUUGAACAAAGCAGCCACUUCUGCUUUAGCAGCUUCUGCCGCGCGUUUUUCUUCUUCACGACGUUUGCGAAGAGCUUCCUGACGUUUAGCAUCUUUGCUGCCUGAAGCUGCCGCGUUUUGCUCAAUUUGACGAAUUUUUGCUUGAACCUUGGUAGACCGAUUUUUGUUUUUCAACCCAAAAGUAGCGUCAGCUGCUUUUUUUGUAGGAUCCUUUUUAGCAGCCUUGCCGGGAUCACCCUUUCCUUUUGCGGCCUUUUUAGGUGGCAUUUUUUCUUAGACUUCUAAAAGUAUCGAAUGAAAAUGAAAAAGUAAAAACAAAAUAAGCAAAGAUAAAAAUCCACGAAAUUUUUUUGAAGGGGUUUUCUUAUUUUUUCAAUAAAUAAAUAAACAGGAAAUAACGGAAACCAACCGUACUAAUGGAUAAGGAAAAGAAGGGACCUAUCGAGGAUGAGAUGUUGGAAAAAGGCAGAAAGCCAAGUGUGACAUUGAAAAAAAAAAGAUUUGUUACACACACAAAGCAAUUUACUGAAAUGAAUCGUAUCGUAUAUUUAACACGCAAUUUUUCUUUCGCAAUUUGGCUUUUUCAAAUAAUCGUUAUACCGUGAUAUAUCAAAAAAUGUACUGCAUCACAUUUCGUUAUCCGUGGAUGUAAUGCAAAAAUUAAUAAAGCUAAGGAGGUUUUGGAUAUACCCACAUAAUUGGUAGCUAAGCAAACGUACGAGUUGAGUAAAUAAAAGUAAUAUAGAUCUCAAUUUUUAAAAUUAUUCGACAAUGUAACUUUUCACAGAUAUCUCAGUUAUUUUCGUUGAGCGAGAACUACAGAAAUACAGCCAACCAAUUAAAAAGAUUUGCUAAAAGGGCAGAAAAAAGAUACAAGCAUCUAGUUAAACACAAAAGAAUUUCAUGAUUUUUCUGCAUUAAAAAGCAAACUUGUCAAACAUAAUUAAGGGUCUCCAUUUGAUAUUCCCAUCUUCAAUUAAAUGUAACCCGUGUGAACAAUUUUAUUGACUUUAAUCAUAUGAUACCGCACCGCUACCAAAUCGACUGACAAUAAGUUAAAAGAAAUUUCCUACUCAGUUUGUAAUUAUAACUUUCGUCGUUGAGACAUUAAUUCUGCUUGUUUUUAUUGACACCUAAUAAACGAAUUGGUUUUGGCCAUUUAAUUGUUUGACAAUUUCUUUUAGCUAUUCUAGAACGUCUCGCUUUGCUUGGAACACGAUAAUUUUUUAACACACCCUUGGAUUGCGAAUUCUGUCCUCAUUAGUUUUAUUGAUGUUCCAUGACGAUAGAAGAUGAUGGGUUUCAGGCUUGAACAGAAUCCUAUAUUUUCACUCGUUCGGCAUGCUAUAGCAGUAAAGGAGUAGAUAGGAGAAUAAACAUCCACGUAUACUGGAAAAGCUCCCACGACAAUGUAACAAGACACCUACUACGGUGAAUGAGGUCUCCGAUUUUAAUACGUAUGUAAGAGUUAAAAGCGAAAUUUGUAAGUGGAAGUAACGCUUCAAUAAAACGAUUGUUAUCGAAGAGUUUUCUCAGUAGAAUGGAUGCAAGUUGUAUGUGUUUUGGAGUGGACGAAUGAAACAUGCUGAAAAAAAUAAACUUACUUAAGAUUAUCAUUAAGCGAGCGAGUAAAAUUGCUAAUUUCGGCA